rnacentral:rRNA from 1 species
AUUAGCUAGUAGGUGGGGUAACGGCUCACCUAGGCGACGAUCCCUAGCUGGUCUGAGAGGAUGACCAGCCACACUGGAACUGAGACACGGUCCAGACUCCUACGGGAGGCAGCAGUGGGGAAUAUUGCACAAUGGGCGCAAGCCUGAUGCAGCCAUGCCGCGUGUAUGAAGAAGGCCUUCGGGUUGUAAAGUACUUUCAGCGGGGAGGAAGGGAGUAAAGGUUAAUACCUUUGCUCAUUGACGUUACCCGCAGAAGAAGCACCGGACUAACUCCGUGCCAGCAGCCGCGGUAAUACGGAGGGUGCAAGCGUUAAUCGGAAUUACUGGGCGUAAAAGCGCACGCAGGCGGUUUGUUAAGUCAGAUGUGAAAAUUCCCCGGGCUCAACCUGGGAACUGCAUCUGAUACUGGCAAGCUUGAGUCUCGUAGAGGGGGGUAGAAUUCCAGGUGUAGCGGUGAAAUGCGUAGAGAUCUGGAGGAAUACCGGUGGCGAAGGCGGCCCCCUGGACGAAGACUGACGCUCAGGUGCGAAAGCGUGGGGAGCAAACAGGAUUAGAUACCCCUGGUAGUCCACGCCGUAAACGAUGUCGACUUGGAGGUUGUGCCCUUGAGGCGUGGCUUCCGGAGCUAACGCGUUAAGUCGACCGCCUGGGGAGUACGGCCGCAAGGUUAAAACUCAAAUGAAUUGACGGGGGCCCGCACAAGCGGUGGAGCAUGUGGUUUAAUUCGAUGCAACGCGAAGAACCUUACCUGGUCUUGACAUCCACAGAACUUUCCAGAGAUGGAUUGGUGCCUUCGGGAACUGUGAGAACGGUGCUGCAUGGCUGUCGUCAGCUCGUGUUGUGAAAUGUUGGGGUAAGUCCCGCAACGAGCGCAACCCUCUUCCUCUGUUGCCAGCGGUCCGGCCGGGGACUCAAAGGAGACUGCCAGUGAUAAACUGGAGAAAGGUUGGGAUGACGUCAAGUCAUCAUGGCCCUUACGACCACGGCUACACACGUGCCUCAAUGGCGCAUACAAAAAGAAGCGACCUCGCGAGAGCAAGCGGACCUCAUAAACCGCAUCGUAGUCCAAAUUGGAGUCUGCAACUCGACUCCAUGAAGUCGGAAUCGCUAGUAAUCGUGGAUCAGAAUGCCACGGUGAAUACGUUCCCGGGCCUUGUACACACCACCCGUCACACCAUGGGAGU